rnacentral:misc_RNA from 1 species
AACUGAUACUACCUGCGGGAACCUGCGGAGGGAUCAUUACUGAGUGAGGGCCCCUCGGGGUCCAACCUCCCACCCGUGUUUAACGAACCUUUGUUGCUUCGGCGGGCCCGCCUCACGGCCGCCGGGGGGCUCCUGCCCCCGGGCCCGCGCCCGCCGAAGCCCCCCCUUGAACGCUGUCUGAAGUUUGCAGUCUGAGAAACUAGCUAAAUUAGUUAAAACUUUUAACAAUGGAUCUCUAGA